CCUGAAGGCCAUGUCCUGAGCUACUUUCCUCCACCAGGCCCUUCUGCCAUGAUGUUAUGUACAACCGUGGGUCCAUAGCCAUGACAUUGGCCAUCUAGGGACUGAGACCUCUGACGCCAUGAACCCCCAAGUAUACCUUUUCUCCUUUAUGUGGCUCUCGUUGGGUCUUUUGGUCACAGCAACAAAAAAGUUGACUGAGGCAGAAACUGGUACUGAGAAGUGGUGUGGAUGCUCUAAUAAGAUCAUGUGGUUUAGAAGCCUCCGGAAGCUGGUUUUGGGGGGAGGAGUUUUGAAUGUUUAGAGACGCAAGCUGUAAACAUUCUAGAAUAUCAUAAGACAAGCUUACUGGGCGGUUCUGGUGGGAGUUCAGAACUGUGAACUGUGAGGAAUGGGCUUGUGAGGGUCAGAAGAGGAGCCCUCCCCUGGAACAGGGACGAGAGGCCGUUCACGUUACAUUCUGGCCAACAAUCUGUCUACGUUUUGCUCAUGUCCUGAGAAGUUUUCUGACGCUGAAUUGAAAGAUGAGGUACUGAUUAGUGUGGCCGAGGGGAUUUACAGGCAGCACAGCACUCGGGGGUUGGCAUCUAGAUGAUGGCAGCUCUCAGUCAGGUUUCCUGUGAUCAUCAGGGGCAGAAAACAGAUCAGAAAGGUUCGAAAAUUGCAAUUUGGCCAGAAAAAUGCAAGUAAAACUGUGGCGAAGGAAAGUGUAAUGGUUAAAGAGAUGAAAACCACUAAAGAAAUGUUAAGUACUUUUCCCAGAAACAGUAGGAAAGAUGGCUUGGGAGCAUUUCGGGAAUCGGCAAGACCACACUCAUCUCAGGCUUGAGGGUGUAAGGGUAAAACUUAUCCGAGAAGAGACUGCAGGGCACCCUUUUGCACCGCAGGCAGCUGAGGAAGUUCUCGCCAGGCUUGGCCACCCUGGUACUCAGAGGCUGCUACCACCAUGGUGCCAAGAGGAUUGGCUGCUGCCGCGGUGGCAGCAGCCCUUGGUGUCACCCACGCCAGGUGGUUGCUGGUUCUGCAGGAAUAGAGGAUGCUGGGGUAGGGUCGUGUGGACUCCCAUGAGAUUUCCAAGGCAGGCCUGGGGGGCCAGGACUAGCAGGGCCCCUGUGGCUGCUACUGAGGGUGCGAGGGGGGACCGAGAGGAGCCGGAGCUGCAGUGGAGACCCCUGAGCCGAAAGGACGCCAGUGUGUGGACUGUCUCUAAGGAAAGCUGCAGAAACCAAGCAGAAAAGCCGAGAGAGCAUGUGAUCUGCACCAACAAAACCCAGGGUGAAACUCCAAGCCCUUUGGGAAGAAGACACAGAGCACGGGCCCAGGUGCCGCACGUGAGCUCCAGGACUUGCCUGCCCUGCGGGUUUUGGUCGUGUUUGGCCCCUCUCUUCUGUCGGUGCCCCUAUUUCUCCCUUGUGGAACGGGAAUACUCACUCUGUGUCAUUACGUGUUGAACAUAGGAAGCUCCCUGUUGGUUUUCACAGGAGCUCAGGCUGCGAGUUUGCCCUGAGUCCCAGGGGAGAUUCUGCACUUGGACUUCUGGGAAACGCUGGGCGUGUGGAGACCAUGGGGACUCUUGAAAAUGGGCUAGGUGUGUUUUGCAUCGUGAGAUAUUUUGGUUUAGAGAUAAGGUGUCUGGAAAGCUCACAUGUGAGACAUUGCAAGAAUGUUCAGGGCCAAAAUGAUUAGGUGGUGAGGGUGGUGACCCCCAGUGGAUUAACCCAUGAUGGAGAUGAACUGGGUGGUCACUGAAGUCAGGUAGGGUGUGGCUGCAGGAGAGAGGUUGCUAGAAGCUUCCCUUUGGGGUUACACUUUGUCCCUGGUGAGCAGAGCCCUCUCUGCCUCCUGUUUGCCAUGCCCCGAGCUGUUUUCCUCCUUCACCCUUCCUCCGUGUGUCCUGCCUCCCUCGGGUCCAGAGGAGUGGCCCAUCUGUGGACUGAGACCUCUGAAACCGUGAGCCCAAAUGGACUUCCGCUUCCGUGUUGCUCUGGUCAGGUCUUGUGGUCACGUGACAAGGACAAAGUUGAGUGGUACCUGCCUUUUCUCCUUGUUAAUGUACAUCAGUUUAUUCCAGUGAAGCUUUGGAGAGUGGUGGGGACACUUUCCUUCACCUCUACACCUGUCACACGUGGCCACCGUCAGUGAAGACGUUAGUUACCUCCAAUUGGAGGAAAAUUUGCCUGCCCUGUGAAAAUUUUAGCUGCG
rnacentral:lncRNA from 1 species